rnacentral:rRNA from 1 species
UCCUACGGGAGGCAGCAGUGGGGAAUAUUGGGCAAUGGGCGCAAGCCUGACCCAGCAACGCCGCGUGAAGGAAGAAGGCCUUCGGGUUGUAAACUUCUUUGAUCAGGGAAGAAAAAAAUGACUGUACCUGAAAAACAAGUCACGGCUAACUACGUGCCAGCAGCCGCGGUAAUACGUAGGUGGCGAGCGUUAUCCGGAUUUACUGGGUGUAAAGGGCGUGUAGGCGGUUUCGUAAGUCGGAUGUGAAAUUCCCGGGCUCAACCCGGGCGCUGCAUCCGAAACUACAAAACUUGAGUACUGGAGAGGAUAGUGGAAUUCCUAGUGUAGCGGUAAAAUGCGUAGAUAUUAGGAGGAACACCGGUGGCGAAGGCGACUAUCUGGACAGUAACUGACGCUGAGGCGCGAAAGCGUGGGGAGCAAACAGGAUUAGAUACCCUGGUAGUCCACGCCGUAAACGAUGGAUACUAGGUGUAGGGGGUAUCGACCCCCCCUGUGCCGCAGUUAACACAAUAAGUAUCCCACCUGGGGAGUACGGCCGCAAGGCUGAAACUCAAAUGAAUU